UAGUCCACGCUGUAAACGAUGUCAACUAGCCGUUGGGAGCAAUUAAGCUCUUAGUGGCGCAGCUAACGCGAUAAGUUGACCGCCUGGGGAGUACGCCGGCAACGGUAAAACUCAAAGGAAUUGACGGGGGCCCGCACAAGCGGUGGAGCAUGUGGUUUAAUUCGAUGCAACGCGAAAAACCUUACCUACCCUUGACAUCCUCAGAACUUGUUAGAGAUAACUUGGUGCCUUCGGGAACUGAGUGACAGGUGCUGCAUGGCUGUCGUCAGCUCGUGUCGUGAGAGGUUGGGUUAAGUCCCGCAACGAGCGCAACCCUUGUCCCUAGUUGCCAGCACGUUAUGGUGGGAACUCUAGGGAGACUGCCGGUGACAAACCGGAGGAAGGUGGGGAUGACGUCAAGUCAUCAUGGCCUUUAUGCCUAGGGCUACACACGUGCUACAAUGGUGCAUACAGCGGGUAGCGAAAUCGCGAGGUGGAGCUAAUCUUGUAAAGUGCAUCCCAGUUCGGAGUUG
rnacentral:rRNA from 1 species